rnacentral:rRNA from 1 species
CAGUCAGUGACAAGGUCUCGCGUUGGUGAACCAGCGGAGGGAUCAUUA